AAAGAAUUCCUCAUAGGGCUGAGCGUGACGUCGAGUAGUGACGUCAAAAAGAAAUUGAAAUGGGCAUUCAAUAUGUACGAUAUUGACGGAAAUGGUUUCAUUGAUAAACAGGAAAUGAUAUCUAUGAUGAGGGCGGUAUACAAGAUGACGCCUUCAAUCAAAAAGCCAGACGACGUGAGUACGCCGGAAAAAAUGACAAAGAAAUUAUUCGCAAAAAUGGACGCUAAUGGUGACGGUGAGAUUUCCUGGGAAGAAUUUUAUGACGGAGCUAUGAAAGAUUCGCUAGUUCUAGCCAUGUUACAACUUAACCCCGAUUAGUGCUAGCUUUAUACGUAGAUUGUUCUUCAUUAACAUUUGAUGAAUUUAUAUCUGUUUGAACAUUGUAUAUCUUGUUAUCAAUAUUCCAGUAUUCAUCCAAUAGCAGGAUUCAAAUGUAAUGUACGUAUAUCUUUAACGCAUGUCUUUUAAUUCCUGUCCCUAAAUUCCUGUCUUUUUAAAUUGCGUGACAUGUAUAUUAGCAUCCUUCCCUGAAAUAUGCAUUUCUUGCAGUAUGUACAGAAUGUUGAAAAUUUACAUUUCGAUCACUGUAAAUGUAAAUUUUAAAACUUCCAGUUUCUUUGAAACGGAAUAUUUUAUUGAUGUGAAUAACAAAUAUUACUUUAUAUC
rnacentral:misc_RNA from 1 species